UACGGGGGGGGCAAGCGUUGUUCGGAAUUACUGGGCGUAAAGGGCGCGUAGGCGGCCUGCUAAGUCGGACGUGAAAUCCCUCGGCUCAACCGGGGAACUGCGUCCGAUACUGGUGGGCUCGAAUCCGGGAGAGGGAUGUGGAAUUCCAGGUGUAGCGGUGAAAUGCGUAGAUAUCUGGAGGAACACCGGUGGCGGAGGCGGCAUCCUGGACCGGUAUUGACGCUGAUGCGCGAAAGCCAGGGGAGCAAACGGG
rnacentral:rRNA from 1 species